GCUUGUCUCAAAGAUUAAGCCAUGCAUGUCUUAGUGUAAAUAACUCUUAUGAAACUGCGAAUGGCUCAUUAAAUCAGUUAUCGUUUAUUUGAUGGUCCCUUACUACAUGGAUAACCGUAGUAAUUCUAGAGCUAAUACAUGCACAAAAUCCCGACUUACGAAGGGAUGUAUUUAUUAGAUACAAACCAACAUCGUGGUGAUUCAUAAUAACUUUGCGAAUCGUAUGCCUCACGGCGACGAUGAAUCAUUCAAAUUUCUGCCCUAUCAACUUUCGAUGGUAAGGUAUUGGCUUACCAUGGUUGCAACGGGUAACGGAGAAUUAGGGUUCGAUUCCGGAGAGGGCGCCUGAGAAAUGGCGACCACAUCCAAGGAAGGCAGCAGG
rnacentral:rRNA from 1 species